UCCCUGGUGGCUCAGAGGUUAAAGUAUCUGCCUGCAAUGCGGGAGACCUGGGUUCGAUCCCCGGGUUGGGAA
rnacentral:tRNA from 1 species